CCUACGGGCGGCAGCAGUGAGGAAUAUUGGUCAAUGGGCUUACGCCUGAACCAGCCAAGUCGCGUGAGGGAAGACUGCCCUAUGGGUUGUAAACCUCUUUUGUCAGGGAGCAAUUGGCGCUACGUGUAGCGUUAUCGAGAGUACCUGAAGAAAAAGCAUCGGCUAACUCCGUGCCAGCAGCCGCGGUAAUACGGAGGAUGCGAGCGUUAUCCGGAUUGAUUGGGUUUAAAGGGUGCGUAGGCGGAAUGCCAAGUCAGCGGUAAAAUCGCGGGGCUCAACCUCGCUCCGCCGUUGAAACUGGCGUUCUUGAGUGGGCGAGAAGUAUGCGGAAUGCGUGGUGUAGCGGUGAAAUGCAUAGAGAUCACGCAGAACUCCGAUUGCGAAGGCAGCAUACCGGCGCCCAACUGACGCUGAAGCACGAAAGCGUGGGUAUCGAACAGGAUUAGAUACCCCUGUAGUC
rnacentral:rRNA from 1 species